rnacentral:rRNA from 1 species
CUAGCUUGGUGGUUAUAGCAUGAGU